rnacentral:rRNA from 1 species
UACGUAGGGUGCAAGCGUUAAUCGGAAUUACUGGGCGUAAAGCGUGCGCAGGCGGUUGUGCAAGACCGAUGUGAAAUCCCCGGGCUUAACCUGGGAAUGGCAUUGGUGACUGCACGGCUAGAGUGUGUCAGAGGGGGGUAGAAUUCCACGUGUAGCAGUGAAAUGCGUAGAGAUGUGGAGGAAUACCGAUGGCGAAGGCAGCCCCCUGGGAUAACACUGACGCUCAUGGCACGAA